UACGGAAGGCAGCAGUGGGGAAUAUUGCACAAUGGGCGCAAGCCUGAUGCAGCCAUGCCGCGUGUAUGAAGAAGGCCUUCGGGUUGUAAAGUACUUUCAGUCGUGAGGAAGGUGUUAAGGUUAAUAACCUUAGCAAUUGACGUUAGCGACAGAAGAAGCACCGGCUAACUCCGUGCCAGCAGCCGCGGUAAUACGGAGGGUGCGAGCGUUAAUCGGAAUUACUGGGCGUAAAGGGCACGCAGGCGGUUAAUUAAGUUGGAUGUGAAAUCCCCGGGCUUAACCCGGGAAUGGCAUUCAAGACUGGUUAGCUAGAGUCUUGUAGAGGGGGUAGAAUUCCAUGUGUAGCGGUGAAAUGCGUAGAGAUGUGGAGGAAUACCGGUGGCGAAGGCGGCCCCUGGGACAAAGACUGACGCUCAUGUGCGAAAGCGUGGGGAGCAAACAGGGAUUAGAUACC
rnacentral:rRNA from 1 species